rnacentral:lncRNA from 1 species
GCUGCAUUAAAUAAUUUCUUCGUUGAAGUUAAACUCGUCUGUGUUCUGUUAUAGGCCAGCACGCACUGGAGAGCUCCUGUUCUAAACGCACGUCCUUUGAAGGAUUUAUUUAAUUAUUUUUCUGCUGUGGGAUUAUUGGACUAUCCGUAAUGAGAAUGAUUGCUUUCCACUUCUAGACACAGUGGAGCAACUAAAGAUCGUAUCUGCUGCAGCGGUGACGAGAGGAACAGGAUGAUUCGCUCAAAACUGCUUUUUGGCGCCUGGCUCAGAAUGAACAUUCAUCACUGGUGGGCAGGACGCAGCGAGAAACCGUAACGACCAAAGUUCACGCUGAAAGGAAUGCUGAACUCCUCAAUAGGAGCCUGAGAAAUCCAGCAUCAGCACAGAGGAGCCGGAGGAGCCUCAUCGCCUCUCUGCUCCGCUCCAGCCCUAGAGGCCCAUAAACAAUAGCCUCUCCUCACAGCAGCCCGGGCCGGAUCCCAGCAACUCUAUUACUAUUCCAGCUGCCACGAGGCGUUGAGCCGCGGCGAACUGCGACCCCUG